GAUGAAGAACGUAGCGAAAUGCGAUAAGUAGUGUGAAUUGCAGAAUUCAGUGAAUCAUCGAAUCUUUGAACGCACAUUGCGCCCCAUGGCAUUCCGUGGGGCAUACCUGUUCGAGCGUCAUUUCAACCUUCGGGCGGUCCUUUGGUCCGUCUGGAUUUGGGUGUCGUCUAAUGGCGUGCCUUAAAGGAAUUGGCGGUGUAGGUGCCGGCUUCGAGCGUAGCAGAUGCGAUUCGCUUUGGAAGCUGGCGUGCUCACCUUGCCAGAAAAGUCUCUGAAGAGCUGACCUCGGAUCAGGUAGGGAUACCCGCUGAACUUAAGCAUAUCAAUAAGCGGAGGA
rnacentral:misc_RNA from 1 species